UGAAGAGACAACAACACAGGAGGCUUCAGCCGGGGACUGCGUGGGUUCCCUCCGGGUACUCCGGCUUCCUCCUACCUCCAAAGACAUGCACCUGGGGAUAGGUUGAUUGGCAACACUAAAUUGCAAUGAGGGAAGCAAAUGAUGUGUCAAGAUGGACGACUUGGAUCACAGCAUGAACAUUGCAGAGAAAGACUGGUUCAACUUCUACCAGGACAGCGAGGGGUGUUGUCUGCCUCAACCUCCGCUCGCCCAAUUCGAGGGCGUCUCAUUGUCGGCCUACCACAAAGAUUCUCCGCAGAGUUUCCAAGAAGCUUCUGUGGCCUGCAACACUGGAGAAGAGAACUGUGAGGGUGCUGCAGGAGAUACAGCUGAAGAUGAGAAGGUCCUAAUAUGUGAUGACUCAGCAAUCACUCCCCACAAAAAAGAGGUGACAGUAGAAGACAUCUCAGAGGAGACCAAAAAGUGCAUCGUCACCCCACUGCAGGCUGUAGAGACAGACGUGGCUAGAUCGCUGGUAACAUACGUGAGAUGCAAAGAUCCUAGCAGAGUUCCUCCGAGACAGGAGAGGGAGCGUUGGUUUGUAACGGUCAAUGACGGUCCGGUGUCUCGCCGGAUCCGUGGAGCUCCAGUGCAAAAAAAAACAAAGACAAAAACAGCUCACAAUGAGCAAAACAAGUGCAGAAUCAAGAAGGAACCUGAAAAAACACCUGAAAUUAAAACAGAUAACAACAUGAACACGCUGCCAAGUGAAAACACAAGUGAGACGAAGGAGACACAAACACUUUUUGAUAUUAAUGAACAAAAACAGAGAAAAGGAAGCCUUCUGGAACUUACAGAACUGACUGAUCAUGGUAUGCAAAACAACAAAGAAGGAACCUUCCUAAAACUUAGAGAAGGAACGCUGCAUGAUGAUCCCAGCAAGCACAAAAUAACUCUGGAAACCUUGCAACAAAACAACAGCAAAGGAACCCUGCAUGAUGAUGACCUAAUCCAUAAGAACAGAGAAGAAACAUUGCACCCAAAUGAUGUAUUGCAAAUAAACAGUGAAGGAACCCCGGAUGAAGAUAUUACAAUGCAAAGGAACAUAGAAGGAACCCUGCAUGAAGAUGAUUUAUUGCAAAGGAACAUAGAAGGAACCCUACAUGAAGAUGAUAUAAUUCAAAGGAAUGUAAAAGGAACCCUGCAUGACGACAGUGUAAUGCAAAAGAGCAUAGAAAGAUCCCUGCAUGAAGAUGAUAUAAUGCAAAUAAACAAUGAAGGAACACUGCAUGAAGUUGAUAUAAUGCAAAGGAAUGUAGAAGGAACCCUACAUGUUGACAAUAUAAUGCAAAAGAACAUGGAAAGAACCCUCCAUGAAGAUGAUAUAAUGCAAAGGAACAUGGAAAGAACCCUCCAUGAAGAUGAUAUAAUGCAAAUGAACAUAGAAGGAACCCUGCAUGAAUAUGAUAUAAUGCAAAGGAACAUAGAAGGAACCCUGCAUGAAUAUGAUAUAAUGCAAAGGAACAUAGAAGGAAACAUGUAUGAUGACAAUAUAAUGCAGAGAAACAUAGAAGAAGGAACACUGCAUGAACAUGAUAGAAUGCAAAGGAACAUAGAAGGAACCUUGCAUGAAGAUGAUAUAUUGCAUAUAAACAAUGAAGGAACUCUGGAUGAAGAUAAUAUAAUGCAAAGGAACAUUGAAAGAACCCUGCAUGAAGAUGAUAUAACGCAGAGGAACAUAGAAGGAACCCUGCAUGAACAUGACAUAAUGCAAAGGAACAUAGGAGGAACCCUGCAAAAAUAUGUUAUAUUGCAAAUAAACAAUGAUGGAAACCUGCAUGAAGAUAAGAUCAUGCAAAAGAACAUUGGAAGAACCUUGCAUGAAGAUGAUUUAAUGCAAAAGAACAUAGAAGGAACCCUGCAUGAAGAUGAUAUAACACAGAGGAACAUAGAAGGAACCAUGUAUGAAGUUUAUAUAACGCAGAGGAAGAUAGAAGGAAACCUGCAUGAAGAUGAUAUAAUGCAAAGGAACGUAGAAGGAACCCUGCAAAAUGACACUAUAAUGCAAAAGAACAUAGAAAGAUCACUGCAUGAAGAUGAUACAAUGCAAAGGAUCGGAGAAGGAACCCUGCAAGAUGACACUAUAAUGCAAAACAAUAUUAAAAGAACCCUGCAUGAAGAUGAUAUAAUGCAGAGGAACAUAGAAGGAACCCUGCAUGAAGAUUAUAUAACGCAGAGGAAGAUCGAAGGAACCCUGCAUGAAGAUGAUGUAAUGCAGAGGAACAUUGAAGGAACCCAGCAUGAACAUGAUAUAAUGCAAAGGAAGAUCGAUAAAACCUUGCAUGAAAGCUUUCAUUGGGAAAGGGCGGACUCUAAUGAUUUUUCAGACAGUGUUGAGUUCUUGUCUCUUCAAAGUUCUGGUUCUGAAAGCUAUCUUUCUGCUGCUGAAUCAGUGGAUCAGGGUCUCCCUGAGGAUUCCUUUAAAAACCAACAAAUGGUUUGCUUAUCAUCAUCAUCAUCAUCAUGCAGCUGUCAGCCAAAUGAGGUCUGUAGUUCUGAAAACCUGCAUGGCAGAGGAGCAGCCAUUAGUUGUGGUGACCAGGUUUGUGUUGGAUCCACUGCUCCAGGUGAGAGCUUCAGCAGCAGCAGCAGGGAACCUGAGCUUUCAGUGUGCUGUGGUUCUCCAGGUACUCAACCCCUUCCUGAAGUUAUCAUCACCCAGGUGGCAGACAGCCCUGAAGCUUACGCCCGAGCUGCAGGCCACAAGCAAAGCGUCUACGCCAUCUCUGCCUUCUGGGAGGAAAUGGAAAAACUAACCAUCAACGACAUCUUACAUCUGAGGACGACAAGAAGUCCACCUCUCAGCGAAACCUCUGACGUACCGACACAAACCAGUUCUCUCGUGGACCCUGAAGAACAUAAUUUGACCCACGGAGGCCUUACUGAUCUGUCCGAUGCUAGCGACUCGGACUACUUCACGCAGGCCAGCGACUCCAAAGCGGAUCGCUCAAGCUGGGAUUUUUCUGUGUGUGAUUUUGAAGAAGAAUAUUGGCAAUUUUUGGGCACCAGCAGGAACACCAGUCCAGAUCUGAGCUGUAAGACCCUAGAGGAUGAGGAGGAGAUGAGGAGUGAGGACUUAGCAGGACGAAAAGGGCCGCAGAGACGGAUGACAAAAACCAAAAGUGUGCAAAACGUACAAGCUCUGAAAACUGAGGACUUAUCUAUGGAGGCUUUUCUACACAAUGAUGCCAAGUCUGAGACGGUUUCAGGAGACAAACUAGGAUCCAUGAGUACAGUUCUUCUUCACGGUGACACUCUAGAACCUCUCACAAGGGGAACCAUGCAUUGGGAUCCCGAAGACACCUUUUUGGAACACAGUGACCUUGACAUCCUAUUCCUACUCCGUGAGUCCCACAAGUGGAAACCCAUUCCAAUCUUUUCCUGCUCCCAUCCUACCGUCAGAGAACUCACCCUUCCUGAGUGGAGUGGUCCCUUCUUAAGCACCGACGCCAUUCCACCGGCCCGAGUCUUGUCGCACGCUCUCCUCCGCCCUGGUGGACCGAUCCCCUUCCAUGACAAAGGCAGCAUCUGGUGCAGGAGGUCUGGACAAAGAAAGCAAGGAAGCGUCCUCAUGUCCACGUUGGAAGGAGUUUCCGCUCCCGCAUGUGAGGAGCAGAGAGUUCUGGGAACAAUCCAAACGCCAGUGCGACUCUUUCAGCAGUCCGACGUGUGUUUGGUCUGCAUCGCCUUCGCCUCCUGGGUACUGACGUCCUCUGAUCCAGAUUCUGCGGACGCUUGGAAGACAGCUCUGCUUGCAAACGUGAGUGCCCUUUCGGCGAUCCAGUUCCUGCGGCAAAGAAAGUAAAGACCAGAAGACCAUUUUCUUUCAGAGUUAAAGUCCCAACGAUAGUCACACACACACUAGGUGUGGUGAAAUCAUCCUCUGCAUUUGACCCAUUCCCAUGUUAACCUCCUGGGAGGUGAGGGGAGCAGUGAGGUGCAGUGGUGGCCGCGCUUGGGAAUAAUUUUGGUGAUUUAACCCCCAAUUCCAACCCUUGAUGCUGAGUGCCAAGCAGGGAGGCAAUGGGUCAUAUUUUUAUUGUUUUUGGUAUGACUCGGCCGACCUUCCGAGGCCACUGAGCUGGUUCAAUGGGGUGUUUGCGGCCCAACGAUAGACCCCGGUCUUUUGGAAAAUGGUACUGUCCAUUUCUUCUGAUCAUCCAUGAGAUGGUUCUACACCUUCAUUGGAGUCCAGUUGUGUUUAAUUCUAAUGAUUGGACUUGAUUAAGGAAGCCACACACCUGUCUAUAUAAGACCUUACAGCUCACAGUGCAUGUCAGAGCAGAUGAGAAUCAUGAGGUCGAAGGAACUGCCUGAAGAGCUCAGAGACAGAAUUGUGGCAAGGCACAGAUCUGGCCAUGGAUACAAAAAGAAAAUUCUGCUGCACUUAAAGUUCCCAAGAGCACAGUGGCCUCCAUAAUCCUUAAACAGAAGACGUAUGGGAUGACAAGAACUCUUCCAAGAGCUGGCCGUCCAACCAAACUGAGCAAUCGGGGGAGAAGAGCCUUGGUGAGAGAGGUAAAGAAGAGCCCAAUGAUCACAGUGGCUGAACUCCAGAGAUGCAGUGAGGAGAUGGGAGAAAGUUCAAGAAAGUCAACCAUCACUGCAGCCCUCCACCAGUCAGGGCUUUAUGGCAGAGUGGCCCGACGGAAGCCUCUCCUCAGAGUAAGACACAUGAAAGCCCGCAUAGAAUUAGCCAAAAAACACAUGAAGGACUCCCAGACUAUGAUAAAUAAGAUUCUCUGGUCUGAUGAGACAAAGAUAGAACUUUUUGGCCUUAAUUCUAAGCGGUAUGUGUGGAGAAAACCAGGCACCGCUCAUCACCUGCCCAACACCAUGCCUACAGUCAAGUGUGGUGGUGGGAGCAUCAUGCUGUGGGGGUGUUUUGCAGCUGCAGGGACAGGACGACUGCUUGCAAUUGAAGGGAAGAUGAAUGCUGCCAAGUACAGAGAUAUCCUGGACGAAAACCUUUUCCAGAGUGCUAUGGACCUCAGACUGGGCCGACGGUUCACCUUCCAACAAGACAAUGACCCUAAGCACACAGCUAAAAUGACGAAGGAGUGGCUUCGGAACAACUCUGUGACUGUUCUUGAAUGGCCUGUGAGUAUUCUUCUUCCUCCAAACACGACGAGUUGAGUUUAUACCAAAAUGGAUACAUGGAUGAUACAGCAGAGGAUUGGGAGAAUGCCAUGUGGUCAGAUGAAACCAAAAUAGAACUUUUUGGUAUAAACUCAACUCGUCGUGUUUGGAGGAAGACGAAUACUGAGUUGCAUCCCAAGAACACCAGACCUACUGUGAAGCAUGGGGGUGGAAACAUCAUGCUUUGGGACUGUUUUUCUGCUAAGGGGACAGGACGAUUGAUCCGUGUUAAGGAAAGAAUGAAUGGGGCCAUGUAUUGUGAGAUUUUGAGCCAAAACCUCCUUCCAGCAGUGAGAGCUUUGAAUGGUUGACCAAAGACUUAUUUUCCACCAUAAUUUACAAAUAAAUUCUUUGAAAUUUCUACAA